UUGCUACUCUUCACGGCAAACGAAGACUCGGCCGACCUUCCAACGCAGGAGAAAUUCGCGCAACGAUUAAAAUCCAUCUCCUCCGGUAGGAUGCUUUGAUCUUCAACAAUGUGGAAAAAUUCUCCCGUCGCUACUGUCCCAGAUGGAGUGCCACACCUGCAUUACACAUAUCGCCGCGAGCUGGAAGUCCCGCACGCGAUGAUCCACCCAAACGAGAGGCCGAUCGCGAACAAGCUGUGGAGAAAAAUGUACCAGGAGACAUUUCGAUUCCUGACCGCCGGGAGGGCGCGGUCGAUUCGCUGCGCCAAGACGAAACCCUACCCCAAGUACCAUAAACCCUAAAACCGCAAGCUUUUAUCUCCUCGUGAGAGCAAGCAAACUAAACGCUACGAGCUAGAACUUUGGAUCAUAACAGAUAGAAGUUUUUCGUUGUGAUCA